rnacentral:rRNA from 1 species
AUUGAACGCUGGCGGCAGGCCUAACACAUGCCAGUCGAGCGGAUGAAGGGAGCUUUCUCCUGGAGUCAGCGGCGGACGGGUGAGUGAUUCCUAGGAAUCUGCCUGGUAUGGGUGGAUGACGUCCGGAAGCGGGCGCUGAUACCGCAUCCGUCCUGAGGGAGAAAGUGGGGGAUCUUCGGACCUAACUCUAUCAGCUGAGCCUAGGUCGGAUUAGCUAGUUGGUGGGGUAAAGGCCUACCAAGGCGACGUUCCGAAACUUGUCUGAGAGGAUGAUCAUUCACCCUGGAACUGAGACACGGUCAAGACUCCUGCGGGACGCAGCAGUGGGGAAUAUUGGACAAUGGGCGAAAGCAUGAUACAGCCAUGCCGAGUGUGUGAAGAAGGUCUUCGGAUCGUAAAGCCCUUUAAGUUGGGAGGAACCGCAGUAAGUUAAUACGUUGCUGUUUUGACGUUACCAACAGAAUAAGCACCGGCUAACUACGUG